rnacentral:lncRNA from 1 species
AUCGAAAAAAAUUUAAAAUCAACAUAAUUUUCAUCGUUUGAAACCUGGAUGAAACUAUAUGCGAUAUAUAGGACGAUGACAAGGUAUUUUAAAUAAACACAAUCGUACUUUUCUGCCCCCUGUGGAACAAGCAGUUGUGCCAAUGUUUAGAGACCUUACUGAAGAAACUAACAUGUGCAAUAUAAAUCUGUAUUUCUAGACCAUUAUUACUUGUUGAAAAACAAAAUCUCAAGACUUUGAUUUUUUUCAUAAAAGUUACACACAACUGACGUUACGCAAGACGAAAAACGACAUAUGCAUUAACCCCAAAUUUUAUUUCAUUAAAGUCUUUUAGUAUACUCAAUUUCAGCCAUUCUGUUCCAAUUUAUCCAGUAGAAGAAAGAGUAGAAGGCCUGCCGUAUCUAUCAUAUUGAAUGCAUAUUACAAACAUGGAAUGGGAAAUUAUUGGGUUUUUAGGGACUUAGUCAACCCUGUCAAAGCCAUGAUUUCAGUUGUAUUUUUGACGAAAACACUUACUUAGUACUAAUCAAACAUCUAAUCUUCAUGGUAGUAUCCAUAUUGUCACAAAAGAUACUCAAACCCGGUGAGUGGCAAAAUUAUACUUUGGUUAAAUUUCUCGAUUUAGUUCAAUUUCAGCACAUAUAAAUGCUGGGAAAUUCCGUCACCACGUUUGGGUUUACCGUAAAAUUGUGGCAAAAAUAAUCUUUUCGCUUUUGCUUAAAAGGCGAGUAUAUUUAACUGAUUUUUGAUAAGGUUGUUUUUUUAAAAACGUUGUAUUUCGUAUCUAAUAUAAUACAUCAGGCUUCUGUGGACACAACCAUAUGAGUAGGCAUAAAAUGUGACCCAAAGGUCAUUUUGAAUUAUGAUUAAUAUUUUGACUUUAAAUAUUCUUUUUGAAUUGUCAUGUAAUCGAGUAUUCUGAGUAUUUGAGCCAGAAUGAGUUUCAAUUUAUAUCAAUUGUUAUUAAACUUUUUACUCGAACUUUAAAUUGUCUUGCAAUUGAGUAUAUACAAAGAUAAAUCAUUUUAUGAAAUAAACUUUAGGGCUAACAUACUCUUUGGACAUCGUUGUUGCCAAACCCUUCCGAUGUUAUUUUACAUCAGUAGGAUACUAUUUUUCAAAAAGUAACAAUUGCCCAAAAAUACAGAUCUUUAUUGCAAAUUUUCCAACCCAAUCUUCCACAGUACUAUUCAGCCCCGACCACGGACACUGCUUUUUUUAUUAUUUUCCCCGAAGUUAUUAAAGGCCUGCGAAAAAAACUUCGUGCGCACACCCUAUUUAUACGUAUUAAUUAUUCCUUUAGAAUUGCUACACAUCGUGUGGGUACCGAUUGUACGCAACCCUAGCAUAGCAUAAUGUACGUUCAAUUUUGAACGAAAAUGCUGAAUGCAAACUUCCGACGACGCUAUUAUGACCGUACGUCGCUGAGCUUGCUCUACAGAGUGUUUUCAUGACCAUGUUCAGGAACAAAUCUGGAUCGAAAUUAAUACACAUUUCUUUUUUUAAAAAGCGAGUUUGCUCCUUAACAACCCACAUAAAAACACUCUAACCCUGGCGGUCUUUUCAUUAGAAAUAAUGCCGUAUUUACACUUAAUGCGCUUGUAAAUUGUCGUUACAACUUGAAUCUAAAGGCAUUUGCCAGAAACGCACAAUUCAAAUUGCAAAAUUGUCAAUUUUUUGUUUUCGCAAUUUUGUGAAUUAUUAUAAAGUAUUUUACGUUUCAUGUGAGUGUCGUAUAUUGCGCAGUUUGGACGCUUCUAAACUGUCUAACUCCCUAACUAUUUUGCGCACGCGACGGACCAUAUUAUCCGCAUGCAACCGCCCUGAAAAGGAAUAUCCCCGAAGAUAUUGAGCCGGAAUAACCGCCAUAAGAGAGGGGACCUAGUCACUGGUAGCGGACUAUUUUUUCAUGAAGUAAGACCGGCUACCAGGAAAAUACAUGCUUUACCUUACUACGGGAGAGAAAAUGUUUAAAAAAACUUUGCCACCAUAAUUGUCUUAUUCUCGCCGAUCCAAACGACCAACAUGAUUUCCACCAAGUCUUCUUACGGGUACCAUUUGCACCCUCUAAGCUAUGGGUACCAUUUGUACCCCCUAACCCCAAGACAAACGAUGCCAGUUUUUUGAAGAAAAAAAAGGUUUAGGCCCCGUUUACAUGAGACCGGGACGAAAAUUGAAAUUGACAAUAUCUUUACAUGAGACCGGUACGAAAAUCACAAAAUUUUCAACUUAUUCCCCUUGCCAGGGCAAUUUUCUUUUUCAGAUGGCUUUUGUUAGCAUGUGUUGUUCCAAUGUCAAGGUUACAGCCGAGACCGGUCUGAAAUGUAUUUCUGUUUACAUUCAUCCCCGUCUGAAUUCAUGCCGGUCUGAAGUCAGUCGGUUCGGUUCAGCAGGCGGAAUGACUUGAGACCGGUCUGAGUUAUUUUCGUCCCGGUCUCAUGUAAACAUCUAUUAUAAAUAAUACUGUGACCGAAACGAAAUGGUCCCGGUUUGACUUCGUUCCGGUCUCAUGUAAACAGGGUCUUAGAUGAGGAAAGUGACAAAUUUCUUUUUCACUAACAAGCGACAAGAUAUUACAAAGAAUCAAACAGCAAUUUCCAAUCGUCGUUCUAUUUCGAAAGACAAAACUCUGGCAAAGCUUUUCUUGUACACAUCCUGCCUCAUGACCCUGUCUAAACUGUUGCGUUGCUGCACUUGUUAUGCGUGUGCACAAAGGCAGUAUAUAUAGAAUAUAUAUAGAACCAUGCAAUAACCAUACACUCAAAUGUUCCCUUUUUUUUUCAGAUCGGUUAUCAAAUUCAGAAGCUGACGAAUUUCGAAAGUACAGUUUUUGCAGAGAAAAUCAUCGUUAUAAACUUUCUUUCAAGCUAUCAAAGUCUACUGAACAGAAAAUAGAUCGAAUUUGUAAAUAUACUGAACAUUUAGACCGCCAGGAUUUAUGCCGGAUUUCAUUGUACCCAGAACAAAAAACAAACAAACAAUGGCCUGGAUACAAGUAUCUACAGCCUGUUCGCAGGCAAACAAGAAAGAACAGUACCUGAAAAUAGACAUUUCUGUGACCUUUGUAUGUCCAUCAACUGAAUAUCCAUUACGGGGCCAUAUUUAUCCAUCAUAGUUUCUUUGUAUCCAUUUAUUAUAGUCACAAAUAUCCACUGCUGGCCAUGAACAUUUAUCAAUCCUUUCAUUUCAUCCGAGAACUACUGUCUUUGGUGUAUUGUUGUAAUUUGAUUAGAAAUAGAGGUAUUCCCUCAUGUAUUGCUCUUCGAGGCAUGUCAUCUUGGUAACAUGAUAUUUUAUAAAUCAAUAUUUCAUCAGCACGUUCAAGUAAUGAUCUGUAAAACAAAG